UUGGCUACGCACCAGGUGGAGAAAAUGGUCAUUCACAAGCUAGAGGAAACGUCUGGAAGCAUGAACAUGUCUGUAUGAUUAAAAUGUAUAUUCAGACGUUAAUUUUAAUAAUAUAAUAAUAUUUUUUUUCGAAUAUCAAAUCUAAGACUUACAGACUAGAAAACAUGGAGGACAUCGAUCGAAUCUGGAGGACGAAACGUAACUUUGCAUGGCUGAAGCAAGUAAUUGCCACAAAUUAUUUGAGAAAACGGACCCGUGUUGACGGAAGCAAGAGCUGCUGUCGGUCCAGUCACAUCAUUGGCAGGCGGACAUUUUGGCUCUAAGCUAACAGCACAUUGGAAGCCUCAUUCUCAGCGAUCAAGGGACUCAAAGGCUCUCCUCCCUGUCCAGAUUCUCUGGUAAGAGUCUUCCUCCCGUCUGUGGCAGCGCCAGUGCAGCAUACCAUUUCCCGGGCGUGACUCGAUUUGAUUGGUUCAGGCGAGCUGAAUGUAGUGAAAUGGACCGCUUUUUUCAGCGUGGUGACAGCAACACCCUGUGCUUGAGACACGACAUGUAAAUAUCGCUAAAGCGGGAAGCACACGCAAGCAUGGGAACCCAGGUUAAUAAGCAGAUGGAGGGGGGGGGGGAUGAAAUGCAUUCUCCGCUACAGAAAGCUGAAAUAAGCGAUCACCCUCCUGAGCAUGCUCGCUCACUGUACUCACGCAGCGCCACAGCUGACGGAACGGACCGGAGUUCGGAGUUCAGGCCCUGUGAGCCAAAAUGGCUCCUCGGCAUCUGAUUGUGGUUAACGUCAAGCCGAGCCUGACUGACAGAGAGAAGAUACUCUGGGUAUGAAGAGACAUGUUUAGGCAUAACUCACUUAUGUCAUCCUAAAGCCAAACAAGAGAGAAUAAGAGACCGUUCAUACACACAUGUUGCUUGAUUUUGUUUUUUUUUUGGUUUUGUGAAACCAUUUGAAAACUGUUAUGAAUUAUUUCCUCUUUCCUAAGCGCAACUGAAAUGAGACGUGCAAUUCCUUACAAUAUUUAUUUUGGAUAGGGUGUCUUGGUAUAUGCUUACUUAAUUAAUCAAGUUUAUUUCCAAAAUAUACCAUUCACAUGAUUUAUUAGCAAACAUGACCACAUAUACGGUUAGUUUACGAAGUCAUCAUGUUAUUUUACACACAUCUCUUUAUCAGAGUGUGGGUCAGCAUUGGUGCAUUCUCUUCAUCAUAACCACGUGCAAAACCCGACUGAAAAGUUUACUCUAAUGUGUUUAUUUAUGCAUGCCGGUGGGCCCCAUUUUCGAUGUGUAAACCAGGCACAGGGCAGAAACAGGUAAUGUCAUUUUCAAAUGUUCAUCUUGUUUUUUUUAUUGAGUUGAAAAAUCUGUCCAUGAUGAGGCCAACCGUGUUUGUUUUAGAGGAGUGACACUGUAGACUAAAAUCCAAAUAUUUUCUCCCCGUCUCCAGUUCAGAUAAAUGUAGUCCGCAUCCGUUUUCUGCGCAUUCUACGUAUUAUCUCUUUGGACCAACCUUAACAUUUCCUUACGUCGUGUUGCACACAUUUGUGAGCGGCAAACCAAUCGCUGACUCUGCAUGCUCCAGUAAGGACAGUUAAUUUGUAUGACAUUAGCGCUUGAUGGACUGUCUGCCAUCUUGGCUGGGAAGAUAUAAGAUGCACAUCUGGCCACUUUGCAUCACAGUUACCCUGAACUGUGGGUUGGUACAAAACUGAAAGUUGAUUUGAUUCUAUUAUCUGUCUUCAGUACAGAACAGACAUACUGAACAGUGUGUGUGUGUGUGUGUGUGUGUGUGUGGAGAGAUAAAGAGAGAAAGAUUUAUAGAUAGAUAGAUACACAAAGAGAGAGAGGUAGAGGAAGACUAUGCCAUUUGCUUGGUUAAAUCCUGCUUUUACUAGGACUCAAAAGGUCACUUCUCCAGAAAGGCUAUUUAGUCAAAGUCUCAGGCCUCCUGGGUUGACACUGCUCGUAUAAAUUCAGACAAAUGUGACUUAAUGCACCUCCUGUCCUUCCUUCCUCGGCCCACAUAAUUGAUUUGAACAGUUUUAGUCUUUCUUGUCAUCCUCGGGAUUAAUGGUGUGUUAGCAAAGUCGUUCCCCUUUGAGGAAAUGGCGUGAGAAUUAAUUCCAGAACCGCAGACCGGUGAUUCCCGCCAGCUCAAUGCUGCCCUCUACAGGAGCUCGGUGGAAAGUGCAAGCGCUAACGUCACAGGCGCUAACGCAAGACUGCUCUCCCAUUCAAUCAGUGGUUACUCACAGUCCAGUGAGGUUUGAAGGUAUGUUGUGACACUGACACUAAAACAAUAAGGAUGGGUUUGAUUUGUUUGUAGAUGUAAUGUUGCCAGUUUGAGGCUUUUCUGAGUUUACCUGGCACCAUUGCUGUGUAUGAUGUAUGGUGUUCUGUUACCAUGUUGUAACUACACAAUAACUGUUCUUCUUUGGCGCCGUUCAUGAUGUUAUCUGUGUGAACAAGGACAAUUCAUUGAAAACAGACUGCUCUGGCUUUGAUGAGGGGAGAGUCACUCCUUGAAACUGUCAAAACAAAAAGCAGAUUCCAAGUCAUAAUUCAUAGAUCCAGGUGUCAACAGAUUGCCUUCUUUUGUCCGUGCACGAAAUGUUGCCGUUACAUUUGCCUUCAUGCAUUUUUAUAAUUUUUCUGUUUUUGCAGUACAGUACCACAGAAGUAAAGCAGGAUGUUCACUACGUAAAGAGCCAGCUGUUCCGCAUUAUGCUUUUUAAUCGCACGCAGUUGUUCGCUGUGAGUUGAAAAGGUUUGCUGCAUGGAGACGUUCAUGUCCUGUUCCGCUGCUUUAAAGGGUCACCAUGAAGACUGCCAUUUUCCUGGAAAGUGAACAAAAGAAAAGUUCCUUUUACGAAGCAAUGCGCUGUGCUCCACGCAGUCCCACAACCCACCAGAGCCCCUGGCAGCUACCAGUCAUAUCAGAGGCUUUCCCACAUCACUGCUGAUUGGUUAAUGCCAGGAGUGCCGAUAAGGGACGGGACAGUCAGGACGAUUCCAUGGGCCCUGACUGAUUGGGGUCCCCCAAAAAAUAUCAGAACAUUAAAUGCACAGGAUGCACUGUUCCUGUUUGUGUAGUAGCUGCUCCCAGGCUUGUCCAGCUGCGCAGAACUGCGCAGGUUCGACUCAGAGACAUAAACAGCGUCAGGGGAUUUCUGUCAGGAGGUGAUGACUUGUCCUGUCAAAUCUCUUCCCUCUCUGUCCCGCACCCUUGUUGAGAGAAUCUUCCACAAAAAGAACUGUCAUCAGGGGCACUACAAAUAGCCACAGAAAUCCCUAGAUUGAAGUUCUUUUUUCCCCAGAUCAAACUGUACACGUUUUCUUCAUUAAAGAAAUGAAUCAUGA